UAGGGAAUCUUCCGCAAUGGACGCAAGUCUGACGGAGCAACGCCGCGUGAGUGAAGAAGGAUUUCGGUUCGUAAAACUCUGUUGUUAGAGAAGAACAGCGCAUAGAGUAACUGUUAUGCGUGUGACGGUAUCUAACCAGAAAGCCACGGCUAACUACGUGCCAGCAGCCGCGGUAAUACGUAGGUGGCAAGCGUUGUCCGGAUUUAUUGGGCGUAAAGCGAGCGCAGGCGGUCAAUUAAGUCUGAUGUGAAAGCCCCCGGCUCAACCGGGGAGGGUCAUUGGAAACUGGUUGUCUUGAGUGCAGAAGAGGAGAGUGGAAUUCCAUGUGUAGCGGUGAAAUGCGUAGAUAUAUGGAGGAACACCAGUGGCGAAGGCGACUCUCUGGUCUGUAACUGACGCUGAGGCUCGAAAGCGUGGGUAGCAAACAGG
rnacentral:rRNA from 1 species